rnacentral:lncRNA from 1 species
CCCAGUUGUUGUUGUUUUUUAAAUGUGGCUUUAUUUCCUUUCUUAUGGGUCAAGGUUUCAAAAAGUAGAAAAGAACGUGACUAAUCUGGGCUUUUUGGGAAGUCCUCUAACAUUCACCCCUGAGAGGCAGAAAAUGGCACGGCACUGA